rnacentral:rRNA from 1 species
CAGUAGCCGCGGGAAUACGAAGGGGGCUAGCGUUGCCCGGAAUCUCUGGGCGUAAAGGGUGCGUAGGCGGGUCUUUAAGUCAGAGGUGAAAUCCUGGAGCUCAACUCCAGAACUGCCUUUGAUACUGAGGAUCUUGAGUAUGGGAGAGGUGUGUGGAACUCCGAGUGUAGAGGUGAAAUUCGUAGAUAUUCGGAAGAACACCAGUGGCGAAGGCGACACACUGGCCCAUUACUGACGCUGAGGCUCGAAAGCGUGGGGAGCAAACAGGAUUAGAUACCCCAGUAGUCCCUGUCUCUUAUAA